rnacentral:tRNA from 1 species
GAUUUUAUAGUUUAAAAAGAACGGUGCUUUGAAGAAGCGAAAGUAAAUUAUUAAAAUCG